rnacentral:lncRNA from 1 species
UGGGGUUUGACGAGUUAUUCUAUAACCUCCGUCUAGUCGGGACUCAUGAUAGAAGGAUUGUAUCACACGGUAACUGCACCAAGAGAUUCAGUAUUCCAUUCUACUGGAAUGCCACUACAUGCUGCUAGGUGUCACUGGUGGAUUGUAAGACUCGUGAGAAUUAUUUAGAUGAUCGAUAAUUCUCAUUGGGCUGAGUUAGAAUUGUUCCGAUCCACUGAAAAGAGUUUCAGUGAUAUUAUUGAGUGUGAUCAAAAUA